rnacentral:rRNA from 1 species
AUUGAACGCUGGCGGCAGGCCUAACACAUGCAAGUCGAACGAGUGGCGGACGGGUGAGUACUGUCUGGGAAACUGCCCGAUGGAGGGGGAUAACUACUUGAAACGGUAGCUAAUACCGCAUAUCAUCGGAUGUGCCCCGAUGGGAUUAGCUAGUAGGUGGGGUAACGGCUCACCUAGGCGACGAUCCCUCGCUGGUCUGGGUGGAUGACCAGCCACACAGGAACUGCGACACGCUCCAGACUCCUACGGAAGGCAGCAGUAGUGAAUAUUGCACAAUGAGCGCAAGCCUGAUGCCGCCAUGCCGCGUGUAUGAAGAAGGCCUUCGGGUUGUAAAGUACUUUCAGCGAGGAGGCGUUACUCGCAGAAGAAGCACCGGCUAACUCCGUGCCAGCCGCCGCGGUAAUAC